AUCAUAAAUGCAGUAGAGUUCUUGCAUAGAUCCUUUCCAAAGUAAAAAUUAUAUUUCAUUUACUUAAGUUUAGCAAGUGAAGCCAGUGAAAAAUAAUAUUUCAAUCUUAUCAUCAAUAAGCAUCAAAUUGUUGAUCUAUCAAAAAACUAUAUAAGCUUUUAAUAACUUGUAAUUAAAUAGAAUUUAGUUAUUACUCAAAUUGCUCAAAUGUUUCGUGAUUUUACCAAAUCCUUUUUUCGUGUGUUAGAUACAACGUAGACAACGAAUUUGUUGUUGCGACGUAUUUGGAAUAUCUUCUAUGAAAAGAAUUAACAGUUAUCCAUAAUCCGUUACGUAUUACACUUUACAGAUGGCGGAUAAAACUAUAAUGAAGCAAAUUACUGAGCAAAAGCUCAAAGCAUUUUCCAUUGGCACAAUGGGGAAACGUCCAUUGAGUAAAAAAGAAUUGGAGGAACAGCGUAAGAAAGAACAAGAACAGGCAGCUGCACAAGCAUUUGAAGAAUUUGUUGCAACGUUUCAAGAGACGCCAAGUAAAACGACAAGCAAAGUUUGGGUUAAAGCUGGAACGUAUGAUGCUGGCAAAAGACAAGAGGAUACAAGAGAGAAGGGAAAAUUGUAUAAACCGCAAUCUAAAAUAUCUGAACUAGUUGAAAAUAGGUCAUCCGCUGAACAAGCGCAAGAAUAUGCAAGACUUCUUGGUUCUAAUGAACGUAAACUUGAUAGAUUGGGUAAAAAAAAGAAAGAAGGGGAGAAGAAGAAAAGUAAUCUUGAGUUGUUCAAAGAAGAGCUUAAAAUGAUACAAGAAGAACGCGAAGAAAGACAUAAGUAUAAGGGUGUAGUUAAAACUGUUAUAUCUACACAAUCUGAAGAUCCAAUGAUGGCUGCAUUAAAAUGUGUAGAAGAUGGCUCGUUCGAUAAUGGAGAUCCUAACACGACUAAUUUAUAUUUAGGAAAUUUAAAUCCUAAGAUUACUGAACAACAACUUAUGGAAAUUUUUGGCAAAUAUGGACCAUUGGCUAGUAUUAAAAUCAUGUGGCCACGUAGCGAUGAAGAAAAAGCCAGACAAAGAAAUUGUGGUUUUGUAGCAUUUAUGAGUCGUAAGGAUGGUGAAAGGGCAUUGAAAAAUUUAAAUGGACGAGAUAUAAUGCAAUACGAGAUGAAAUUAGGAUGGGGAAAAAGUGUACCGAUACCGCCAUAUCCUAUUUACAUUCCACCCGCUUUGAUGGAAAUAACACAGCCACCGCCUCCAUCGGGUCUUCCAUUUAAUGCACAACCGCAUCGCCGCGACAGACACAAGAUACCACGUAUCCGCAACCUCCAGAGCGCAGAUCCCCAGGAAAAGGAGAACUUCGAAAAGGUUUUGCAGAAUGCGGUUGUCAAAGUGGUUAUUCCAACCGAAAGGAACUUAGUCAUGUUAAUACAUAGAAUGGUGGAAUUUGUAAUUCGAGAAGGUCCAAUGUUUGAAGCUAUGAUAAUGAAUCGAGAAUUAAACAAUCCGAUGUUUAGGUUUUUGUUUGAAAAUUAUUCACCCGCUCAUACAUAUUAUCGUUGGAAAUUAUAUUCUAUUCUGCAAGGAGAUGGUCAAAAAGAAUGGCGUACCGAAGAUUUUAGAAUGUUCAAAGGUGGAAGUGUUUGGAGACCACCUCCUAUUAAUCCAUGGACGCAAGGUAUGCCUGAUGAAUUAAUUGAAAUGGAAGAACGGCAGGAACCAAGAAGAGGUAGCUUAUCUAACAGUCAAAGAGAUAGAUUAGAAGAUUUAUUGAGAAACAUAUCACCGGAAAGAAUAAAAGUUGCGGAAGCAAUGGUUUUCUGCAUAGAACAUGCAGAAGCAGCAGAAGAAAUUUGCGACUGUAUAUCGGAAUCAUUAUCAAUACUCCAAACACCUGUUAAUAAAAAAAUAGCAAGGCUAUAUCUUAUAUCUGAUGUCUUACACAAUUGUGGCGUCAAAGUUACUAAUGCUACUAUUUAUAGAAAAGCAUUUGAAACGCGUCUUCUUGAUAUUUUUAACGAAGUACAUCAAGCUUACAAACAAUUUGACAGUCGAUUAAAAGCUGAAGGAUUCAAAGCACGUGUAAUGAGAAUGUUCAGAGCUUGGGAAGAUUGGGCAGUUUAUCCAAGAGAUUUUCUUGUUAAAUUACAAAAUACAUUUUUGGGCCUUGUAAUGUUAGAUGAGCCUGAACCAGAAAACGAAGAAGACAUAGACGGAGCACCUUUAUCUGAUGUUGAUGGUGAAGGUGGAGAAGAUUUAGAUGGUGUACCUUUGGAUGGGGCUGCUUUACUUAAAGGAGCAAUGAAACAUGGGCUUACGCCGCAAACAACAUCCAAUUACGAUGAUAUCGAUGGCGUACCUAUGGAUGAAGAUAUCGAUGGCGUUCCUAUGGAUGAUGAAGACAAUUUGAAUUUACGUAAUAAAGAAGACGAAAAGAAACCAGCAAUGCCGGCUGGUUUUGUACCUUCGAGAUGGGAAACUGUGGACCCAGACCAGGUUGAAGCACAAGCUAUGACUACUAGUAAGUGGGAAGAAUUAGGUCAGAAUGACGAUUCAAAUUCUCAAGAUGCUAGUAUGGAUUCCAGUAGUAGAGAUUACAAUGAAGAAAGGCGUAAUAGGUUACGUGAAAUAGAAGUUAAAACUAUGCAAUAUCAAGAUGAACUUGAAAGUGGUAGGAGAACAUUAAAAUCUGGUAUGACUAUUCAAGGACAAGUUGAACAUUACAGGAAAAAAUUAAUAAGAAAGAGCGAAAGAGAAAUGAAGGACCUGAAAACUGAUGACCGAGAAGACGAUAGAAGGAGGGAAAAGAAACGCAGUACAACACCAGAAUCUCCAAGUCAUUACAGAGAUCGAAGAAGAUCAUCAAGUCCAUUAUUUAAGAGCAACAAAUACAGAUCUCGCAGCAGAUCACCGCGUAAUAAACGUAGAUCACGAUCACCACCAUAUAAAAAGCGUGUACCAGUGACUCCAUCACCACCUCGUAUUCGUCGUACCCCAUCACCAUCACUUUCUUCAUCUAGAACAUCGUCAAGAAGAUCACCAGGCAGUGAACGUAACGAUAGAAAAAGACGUUCUGCUAGAUCACCAUCCUUAUCACCUCCACCACCACCUCGAACUUCUUCCUCCUCUUCUAAACAUAGAGCUAAUAGUCCACCUUCACCUUCUCCACGCAAACAUAGACAUAAGCAUAAGUAUUAAUUCGAUUACUUAAUGCUUAAUCCGUUAUGUUGACUGUAAAAGAAUCAUAAGUUACAAAUAUACAUAUAUAUAUAUUUAUAUUUAUUAUAAUACAUAUAAUGAUAUAAAUAUAAAUAUAUAAAUGUGUAUGUACAAUUAUAUGCAAUUUUACAUUACUCUAAUAGGUCUUACAUAACAAGAAUUCUCCAAUAUUUUACUAAAAAAUAUUAACGACAGAUAUUUUAAUACUACACUCUUAAGUAAACAAAAAAAAAUCCUCUAAUUGUAAGAUUUCAAACUUUAGUAUUUUAUAUACUAUAUCUCCAUUAUAUUACAUAUGACGUUAAGAUCUUUGCUGCAUAAGAUUCCAAAUCUGUCAGUUUAAUUUUUCCCAUUUUCUCCGUGUCUAUAUACAGAUCAUAAUGCUCAAAAGGUAAUAGAAAUAUUUAAUUGCUUUUUUAUUUCUUAGUA
rnacentral:misc_RNA from 1 species